rnacentral:lncRNA from 1 species
CUGUGCACACGAUCCAGGGAUUGGAACUGCUGCAAGAGAUUAAUGGGCGCCCCGGGCAGGAGAUUAGUGAGAUUUCAGCAGGAAAACAAAUACUGGAUAUUCUCUCUCCUGUGAAGAAGCAGCACACCUAUGGGGCUUGAUCAUGGAUGAGUGUGAGAGACUGAGGAAGGAAGAGGAAGGACAUCAAGGAACUAGAUGCUUAGUGCCUGAACCCUGUCAGAUGGACUAAAGAACAAGAAGUGAAAAAGAAGUCCAGUCAAGCAGCUCGCACCUGUAGCUCCACACUUGGGAGGCAGAGGCCGA